GACGAACGCUGGCGGCGUGCUUAACACAUGCAAGUCGAACGGAAAGACCCUGCUUUUGUGGGGUGCUCGAGUGGCGAACGGGUGAGUAACACGUGAGUAACCUGCCCUUGACUUUGGGAUAACUUCAGGAAACUGGGGCUAAUACCGGAUAGGAGCUCCUGCUGCAUGGUGGGGGUUGGAAAGUUUCGGCGGUUGGGGAUGGACUCGCGGCUUAUCAGCUUGUUGGUGGGGUAGUGGCUUACCAAGGCUUUGACGGGUAGCCGGCCUGAGAGGGUGACCGGCCACAUUGGGACUGAUAUACGGCCCAGACUCCUACGGGAGGCAGCAGUGGGGAAUAUUGCACAAUGGGCGGAAGCCUGAUGCAGCAACGCCGCGUGCGGGAUGACGGCCUUCGGGUUGUAAACCGCUUUCGCCUGUGACGAAGCGUGAGUGACGGUAAUGGGUAAAGAAGCACCGGCUAACUACGUG
rnacentral:rRNA from 1 species